rnacentral:rRNA from 1 species
CCUACGGGCGGCAGCAGUGGGGAAUAUUGCGCAAUGGGCGAAAGCCUGACGCAGCGACGCCGCGUGAGGGAUGAAGGUCUUCGGAUCGUAAACCUCUGUCAGCAGGGAAGAACGGUCACUGUGCUAAUCAGCCGUGAAUUGACGGUACCUGACUAAGAAGCCCCGGCUAACUACGUGCCAGCAGCCGCGGUAAUACGUAGGGGGCAAGCGUUAUCCGGAUUUACUGGGUGUAAAGGGAGCGUAGACGGCGGUGCAAGUCAGAUGUGAAAGCCCGGGGCUCAACCCCGGGACUGCAUUUGGAACUGUGCGGCUAGAGUGUCGAAGAGGCAGGCGGAAUUCCUAGUGUAGCGGUGAAAUGCGUAGAUAUUAGGAGGAACACCAGUGGCGAAGGCGGCCUGCUGGACCGCGACUGACGUUGAGGCUCGAAAGCGUGGGGAGCGAACAGGAUUAGAUACCCUUGUAGUC